rnacentral:tRNA from 1 species
GCCGUCGUAGCUCAGUUGGUAGAGCGUGCCCUUGGUAAGGGCAAGGUCACCGGUCCAAUUCCGGUCGACGGCU